AAGUCGUAACAAGGUUUCCGUAGGUGAACCUGCGGAAGGAUCAUUAAAAAAACACACAAGGUGAAAGGGAUUAAAAAGGGAAGGAGGGGGGCGCAUGCUUUUCUCGUUUCCUUUUUUUUCCUUUUCUUCUUACCUGUGAAUUGGGGCAUUCUUUUUUUUUUUUAAAAAAAAAGUGCCCGCUUUGUACUCUUGUCGUUUUUUUUAUUUUAAAUUGUUGUUGCCUUCUGGCAGCAGCAAUAAAAAAUAUAUAAAGACAACUUUCAGCAAUGGAUCUCUUGGCUCUU
rnacentral:misc_RNA from 1 species